rnacentral:tRNA from 1 species
GGGCGUUAAAUAGAUAUUGCUAUAUCUAGUUGCGGUCUAGAGAGAUUAUACGCCUU